rnacentral:rRNA from 1 species
UACGGGGGGGGCAAGCGUUGUUCGGAAUUACUGGGCGUAAAGGGCGCGUAGGCGGCCUUCUAAGUCGAACGUGAAAUCCCCGGGCUCAACCCGGGAACUGCGUCCGAUACUGGAAGGCUUGAAUCCGGGAGAGGGAUGCGGAAUUCCAGGUGUAGCGGUGAAAUGCGUAGAUAUCUGGAGGAACACCGGGUGGCGAAGGCGGCAUCCUGGACCGGUAUUGACGCUGAGGCGCGAAAGCCAGGG